rnacentral:rRNA from 1 species
GAUGAACGCUAGCUACAGGCUUAACACAUGCAAGUCGAGGGGAAACGACAUUGAAGCUUGCUUCGAUGGUCGUCGACCGGCGCACGGGUGAGUAACGCGUAUCCAACCUGCCUCUGACCAAGGGAUAACCCGUCGAAAUUCGGCCUAAUACCUUAUGCAGUCGUCGGAAGUCAUCUGAUGACGACGAAAGAUUUCAUCGGUGAGAGAUGGGGAUGCGUCUGAUUAGCUUGUUGGCGGGGUAACGGCCCACCAAGGCAACGAUCAGUAGGGGUUCUGAGAGGAAGGUACCCCACAUCGGAGCUGAGACACGGUCCAAAAUCCUACGGGAGGCAGCAGUAAGGAAGAUUGGGCAAUGAGCGAGAGCCUGACCCAGCCAAGUAGCGUGCAGGAUGACGGCCGUAUGGGUUGUAAACUGCUUUUAUGCGGAGAUAAAGUGAGGGACGUGUCCUUCAUUGCAGGUACCGAAUGAAUAAGGACCGGCUAAUUCCGUG